GAUGAACGCUAGCGGCAGGCCUAACACAUGCAAGUCGAGGGGGAAGUUACUUUCGGGUGACUGAGACCGGCGUACGGGUGCGUAACGCGUAUACAAUCUGCCUUUCACUGGGGGAUAGCCCGAAGAAAUUUGGAUUAAUACCCCAUAGUAUAUAGGGACGGCAUCGUUUUUAUAUUAAAGCUUAGGUGGUGAAAGAUGAGUAUGCGUUCUAUUAGCUAGUUGGAGAGGUAACGGCUCCCCAAGGCGAUGAUAGAUAGGGGUUCUGAGAGGGAUGUCCCCCACACUGGUACUGAGAUACGGACCAGACUCCUACGGGAGGCAGCAGUGAGGAAUAUUGGACAAUGGUCGGAAGACUGAUCCAGCCAUGCCGCGUGCAGGAUGAAGGUCUUAUGGAUUGUAAACUGCUCUUGUAAGGGAAGAAUAAGGGCUACGCGUAGUUUGAUGACGGUACCUUACGAAUAAGCAUCGGCUAACUCCGUG
rnacentral:rRNA from 1 species